UUUCUCUCUCUAUACAUAUUGCAGUAUUAGUUUUUUUGCAAUGAGAUUUGCCUCGAAAAAAGGAUCCUUAGUAUAAAUUCAAGUCAAUUUCCACUUAAACAGUAAAAAAAACUUAAACGGGUCAACUUCAGGUCAAUCCGUUUAUAAUCAAGUCGGGUUGGGUUGAGAAUUUCAACCCGUUGUUUAAUUAAACAGGUCGGUUGGGUUGGGAAAAUCUCAACCUGUUUAUAAAUGGGUCGACCUGAUGUCGACCCUACCCAACCCAUUGACAGCUCUACCUAGAACUAAUUUUUGAUUUGUAAACUGGAUUUGUCCCCAACACGGCAACUCCCAUCUGUCCUUACCUGUUAGCAUGGAUUGUGGAUUAUUAUUAUUAACCAAAUGCCAAAUGCUUCAUAAUCAGGGCUUUUACAUAAGUGAAAAGCCGAUAAGCAAUAAAAUAAUGAAUUCACACUUUUGUGUGUUCCUUAGAAAAUAAUAAAAUACUCUCAAACCUUUCCACAAGUAAUUCAUACAAUCGAUUAAUUUAUUUAUAUUUUUUAAUCAAAUGCGAUUGGUAGUCUUCAUUGCAAAUAACUCCUUGUAAUAUUACAUUUUUGAAUUAUAGAGGAGGGAGAAUUUGUCCGUGCAGCUAAGCCGGAAUUUUCAGAUUUUCAAAUUCAGUGAAAAGCUUUAGAAAAUGAUGAUUUUUAAUUGUCGCCCCAGUCUUACAAGCAUCUCAAUUAGAUGCUUUAAUAUGUAUUUCAUCCUUGUCGGGUCAACUCGUCGGAAACCAAUUUCGUACAAUCCUAUUCCGGUAGUCGACCUUCAGCGUUCAGAGCGGUGUCUACCUAAAUCCCAGGUAUUUAAUUUCAUCAAUUUUUUCCCCAAUUAAAGUUGUUCUAUAUUCGAAAAAUUAUGGUGUAUUACCUUGAUUAUUUAUGUAAUUGAUUGAGGGCUUUUGUUUUUGUUUGGUGUUUUGAACUUGAUUGAAGGUUACGAAGUAUUUAAUUUCAUCAAAUUUUUUUCCCAAUUAAGUUGUUCUAUUUUUCGAAAAAUUAUGGUGUAUUAAGGGCUUUUUUUUGUUGGUGUUUUGAACUUGAUUGAAGGUAUAUGUUGGUGUUUUGAACUUGAUUGAAUGUUUUUGUUGGUGUUUUGAACUUGAUUGAAGGUAUAUCUUCUCUCUGUUUUGAUCUUUUGUUUUUGUUGGUGUUUUGAAUGAUCUAUUGAUGGGCACUUAGUUUAUUGAUUGAGAUUAAUUGGUUGAUUUCUUUCGCCUUCAAUUUUAAUAUUUUAUUGGUUCAAUUUUGGCUAAAUUAAUUGUCUGAGUAUGCUUCAAACUCUUUGGCUUGCAAGAGUUGCAACCACCGAUUUCUUAAUCCUGCAUAGGCUACAUAAAAAAAAUCGAAUUCCAUGCCGAUUUGUGGACUAUAGUUUUCGAGUUCCUGUGUAUCCAUAACUCAUUGUUGUUUCAGUUUUUUUAGGGAAAAUAAAAACGUAGAGCUGCUAUCAUAAUACUCAAUAUGUAUUAUGUGCAAAGUAACCAAAGUUAUUUUAUUUUCCCGGUAAACAAAGAAAAUUGGUGGGAAACAUUGAUUAAUGAUGAAGAUUUUGGUGGGAAACACUAAAAACAAAGAGCUUCCCCUAUAAUUUAGGAGAACUACACGCACAAUAUUCUGUAAAUUUGUUUCUUUAUUUAUUUGUUUAUUUAUUUUUUAUUUUUUAAGUCAGUGGGGUAAAUCUCAACCGCUAAUUAUAAUAAAGGGCCAAGAUUUUCUCAACUCUAUUUUGUAGAGUUCUUCUCCAACUCCAGAGGAUCCAGACCCGUUGACAAUGUAAUCAAUGGGAUACGGAGUAUGUAAUUAACAGAAUAUUAUUUCGUUGAAAUUAGCUUCUGGCUGCUGUGGGGAGUGGAUGUAAUUGGAAUGAUUGAAGUCGUUGAUUUUAGAAUUUCGGAUUUUAGAAUGAUAUUAUAGCGUUGACGUUGAAUUCGAAAAGACAUACUUCGUAGAUGUCUAUUGUGUUUUAUUUGAGGAUGAUCUUUGCGACGGAGGGCUUGAUGAAUAUAGAGAGGAAGUAGGGGAAUUGGGGUUUGGAAAUGUAGUCUGGAAGUGGGCUUGAUUAAAACUAUCAAUUUAAACUUUCUGAAUUUAAAAUGUGGCUAUGUGUUGAUUUUUGGGUUCUUUGUUUUGAUUUAUGGGUUUUUGUUUGAUAAAUCGGUAUUUGAUUUGUGUUUUUAAUAUGCUUGAUUUCUUUUUCAUGAAUGUUUCGUUGUAGGGUUAAUAAUAUCGAAUUCGAGGAGGUUAAAAUUGAUCUGACCAAAUUUCAGCAUUUAUCUCAAGAAUUUGUAGAUAUCUCUUUUCUCUUUCUAAUUUGUUGAUUGAUUUUAUUGGUUGAUUUUCUUAUCCAAAUUCUUUGCUGAACUUAAGGAAAUUUAAUUGGGUUUUUCAGAGUUGAAGAAUUUAAUUGAGUUUCAUAGGAAUUAAUUUUUGUACAAAGUAGUUAUGGGAAAAAUUUAAUAGGAAUUAAUUUUUGUAUAAAGUAAUUUGCCACUGAUUUUUGACAUUUUGUAUAAAGUAUUCUUCGAAUUUUAACAGAUUAUGCGUCGUUCCUUCGAAUUUAAGGUUGAGUUAGUAAUUGGAUGUGAUUGAUUUGUCCGCCUUUUUAGAAAGGCAAUAAGCUUGAUUUUCUAGUAUAAUGGAAGUGUGUUAUUUACUUAUAUGAAAAAAUAAAAAUUACGUUAAUAAAAAGAUAGAAAUGUUUGUUGGUAAAGAUGAAUGCUUCUUUUAAGCGCCAUGUCCCAGAUGCUAGCACCGGUAAAAUUUAGCAUCAUAUAACAAUACUAGCAUUAAGCA